UACGUAGGGGGCAAGCGUUGUCCGGAAUCAUUGGGCGUAAAGAGCGUGUAGGCGGUUCGGUAAGUCGGCUGUGAAAGUCCAGGGCUCAACCCUGGGAUGCCGGUCGAUACUGCCGGACUAGAGUUCGGAAGAGGCGAGUGGAAUUCCCGGUGUAGCGGUGAAAUGCGCAGAUAUCGGGAGGAACACCUAUGGCGAAGGCAGCUCGCUGGGACGUUACUGACGCUGAGACGUGAAAGCGUGGGGAGCAAACAGG
rnacentral:rRNA from 1 species